rnacentral:rRNA from 1 species
GAGACACGCUGGCGGCGUGCUUAACACAUGCAAGUCGAACGGUGACGAGGAGCUUGCUCCUCCGAUCAGUGGCGAACGGGUGAGUAACACGUGAGUAACCUGCCCCAGACCCUGGGAUAACAGUUGGAAACAGCUGCUAAUACCGGAUACGAGACGGAGAGGCAUCUCUACCGUCUGGAAAGAUUUAUCAGUCUGGGAUGGACUCGCGGCCUAUCAGCUUGUUGGUGAGGUAAAGGCUCACCAAGGCGACGACGGGUAGCCGGCCUGAGAGGGCGACCGGCCACACUGGGACUGAGACACGGCCCAGACUCCUACGGGAGGCAGCAGUGGGGAAUAUUGCACAAUGGGCGAAAGCCUGAUGCAGCGACGCCGCGUGAGGGAUGACGGCCUUCGGGUUGUAAACCUCUUUCAGCAGGGAAGAAGCGAAAGUGACGGUACCUGCAGAAGAAGCACCGGCUAACUACGUG